AUGAAGGUCUCCUCUACUGCACCUGACUGUCACCCCCCUCCCCAUCUGAGAUCAAAGAGGGAGUUGGACCCAGACAUAUACAGAGAGGGCCCGUCUUCCCUUGCUAAUGCCAGGUCUCGCCAGGAGAGUGGCAGAAAAAAGCUGCAGCUGAGGAGAGCACAACUGUCUGAUCCCAGCACACACAGGAAGCAACACCGUAUUAACAACAUUGGGAAGACCGACCGGCACAAGAUCCUUUCCAAGAGACGUCUGUAUUCCUGCUACAAUUUUCUGUAACGGUAAUUUGGAUAUGGAGCGGCUGAGUCUUUGGGGAGCUCCAGACUUCACAUUGACCCUGAGAUCAGGCAGCUCAAGUGUAGCAUAGAUGUAAGCUUUGCUGGUAACACAUUAGUUAGCUGAGUUGACCCUAUAUGUUCAAAGAGACUUUUUUGCAGCAGUGUAGAUGAAAUUAGGUCUGACUGGCAAACAGCUCCUGGAAUUCCUGGAAGAAGAAAACAUUCUCCACCUCUUCAGUUUUAUUUCAUUGAAAGAUUUGGAAAUGAGUUAAUACUGAUAAUGUCCUUAGCUUUGCUUCUUCUACUGUCAUAUGCACACCUCCCUGUUUAUCACAGCUUGUACGUAAGUGUUCCCAACUCUAUAAGCAGUAUGGGCAAUGUUGUAGAAAUGGAGGGAGAUGGUGACAUGAAGCUAGAUAGGUACUUUUUGUAAAGAGUGUUCAGGCUAUUUUAUUUCUGUUUUUAAUAUUGUCCACUACGUAAUAAUACUACAAGAAAGUAAAAAGUGCAUUACUGGGACAAAUCUCUAUCCAUUACUUGAUUUUGCAGCUUGAUAGGUGUUUUAAAGUGUCACUGAAAAUAAUCAAUUUGGUACCAUGUUACUUAGGCUGUUUUUUUAUAUCCUAAAUUGUUUUUUGUAUGUAAUAACAGUUGGAACAGGAUACUAAAUGUGGCAGUAAUAACAAUAUUGAUAAAAAUGUUUUUUCUUUUAAAAAGCAUUACUCAGCAGAUGACAGUAUGAUUGUUUUCAGUGUGAUAUGUGAAAACAAAAUGUGUUAAACCUUUUUCAACUAUGUUAAUAACUCUCACAUUUCCACCAAUAUGGGUAACUACAUUGUUCAUUACUGGCAUUAAUGGACUACAAUCAUCCUAUUAAAGUACAUUCCUAAUGUUUUGAUUACCAUUUACCUUCCUCUGAAUCACAGAAGACAACAGACAAAGCUGACAAAAUUCAGGAAUUAUUUCUUCUUCAAGAUCAAGUAUUACUGCUAUUUGUUUUAAGGUUGCAGAAUCACUUGAAUUGAUACCUGCUGUUUGUCCAAAAAUUCAACCAAGUUUUUUUGAGGCGAGUUUAUUACCAAAAAAUAAAAAAGUAAAUAUACAGAAAUUAUACGCUUUA
rnacentral:lncRNA from 1 species